rnacentral:lncRNA from 1 species
UGAAAUGUUGAUUGUAUUCUUGAAAUUUCUCGCUUGUAUUCUUGAAAUUACUCUAUUGUUCGUAAAAUUGUUUGUCAUGAAACUGUUGUUUGUAUUCUUGAAAUUGUACUCGGUUGUAGACAUAGAACUGUUGUUGUUCAUAGUUUGGCAUGUUUGUUUGCAACUAGAUAGUUUGGCAUGUUUGAAAUUUAAGGCUAGUUUGAUUGAGAUUCAACUUAGACUUGGACUCUAAUGAUAACUGAAAGGGUAGUUUGAUUGCGAUUCAACUUAGACUUGGACUCUAAUGAUAACUGAAAGGGUAGUUUGAUUGCGAUUCAACUUAGACUUGGAGUCAUGUUUUUUUAAUGACCUUGAAAGGCUAGUUUGUUUGCGAUUCAAUUUAUAGAUCGACUCUAGUUUGUGUAAUGAAGAGGGCUAGUUUUUUUCCAUUUAUUGGUAAUUUGACAGUUUGAAAUGAAAGGCUACUUUGACAUCUUCACCAAGUCUAUUUACGGG